UUUUAUCGGGUUGCUUUUUGCGUACGCGUUAUUAGACGACAGACGCAGACGCGGCUGGGUGCGAAACAGAAGGAGGGGUUAGAGGUUUGAGAGAGAUCAGGGGUGGUGUUGGGGAGGGGUACCGCUGCCGGCGGCGGCGUUUCGGCCGCCGCUCCUGCUGCCACUUGCACCGGUCCCGGCACAUGGCGCACGUCGACCGGGAGGAGCUGCCGCGCCGCCGGAGGUUGCUCGGGGAUGAGGUGCGCCGGCGGCGCCAGGAGAGGGCGCGGCUGAUGCUGCUGCAGCAGUGGCUCGCGAGGUAGCGGCUCCGCACGCCGGUGGGGCGCACGUGGUCGAGGGAGGGGCUGGGGCGGUUGGGGUUCCGCCGCGGCGCCAAGGUGUAGAGGGAGGCGCUCGUGGCGCAGAUGCUGGAGCUCCUCCGGGCGUUCAAGACGAGGCUCGCGACGGAGCAACGGAGGCGCCGGAAGCGCCGCAGCGAGGGCGGGCUGGCGGGGAAGCCCUAGGGCGGGUUGUCCGACCUGCGGGACCAGCGCGAGAAGCUUUCGUCGCCCCUGCCCGGCCCCGAUCCCAAAGCACGCCUGUCGCCCUUCUUCCUCCUGCUUCCCUCCUUCCACCUCUAACACCUCUUCCUCUGCGGACCCGGACCCCUCCACUGCGACGUCCUCACCUAACCCGGCAGCCCGCGGUAACUCCCGAUACACGGGGCGGUAGUGGGGUAAGUACUUCCGUGUAAUGACCGGUUACGGUGUCCGAUUUGUCCCGUUUCGAUCAUCUCGACUCGACAGACCCUUAUUCUUACACCUAAGACCCCGACGACAAGAACCGCUUGUAUCGUACCUUCAAAGUAGAAGAAGUCAACUUCGUGUUCACCCGAGACUUCUAUAUCGAUUUUUUUAACUACCGUACCAGGAAGUACUCUUGUGUUUUUACUUCUUUUUUCUGCGUCUAUUUUGGGAUAGUUUCUAAAAGGUUGUCCUACUUCUAUGUCUAUACAAUAACGGAACGUAUUGACUAAGGUAACGCUUCGUUGAUCUCGUACAUUAAAACCUUCUCUCUUCACUGUUCUUCUUUUUCUUUAGUUGAUCUCGUAGUAGUUCCCGUACGUUCUCAUUCGGAUGUUCUUUUGGACGACCUUCAUUACCGGUACUUCAUCCGAAAUGAUCAUGUUAGUAAUACCCCCUAGGACGAAGCCAUUUCUACCUAGUUCCCCGAAACCCAGUUAUACUGAAACGUUCAAGGUAGGAGUAUCUAUUAGUCGGGAGUAGUAGAGUUAUGUGUCAUUCUCUAAGUUACGUAUGAAUGUGACUUGUUGAUGUGUUUCUUAAGUCAUUUCGUCACCUGGAACUUUUUUUACUCUGUUCACUGCUCUUUCAAUCACGACGUGAUUUUAGAAGUGACUUCCGACAUCCCAGAUUCUUGUCUUCAGUCAGACACUGUACCCGUCUACUAUUACCCUCGUAGAAUCUUCGUUCGUUUCGUAUACUGUAGCUAAGUCUACGAUUUUUAGAUAGAUACCUCCUGUAACUGUCAAGUGAUUCCGCACUUAGGCGUCUCCGAACGCGUCGACGGGAAUAACUUCGACGUCCUCGAUAAAGAAGUCCGUGUAGUCUUCACCUUCUACGUCAAAGGUUCCGUCCCUAGUAGUAUAACGGACUGUACGAAGUGGUCUUUGUCAAGUUCUUACAGGUACCGCUUCUAUGUCACCUUUUCCAUCAUAGACUUUGUCUACCACUACAACACUUCACCGGUUGUUUCUGACACGAAGACCUGUGACUGUACAAACUUCAGCUACUAAGAACCGUGCUGUGUGGUGGUCUUCCAAAGUCAAAUUGUGACAGACGAAAACGUUGUUACACCUGGUGUUAUAAACCUACCUAUAGGGCCAGUAGAAACCGGAUACAUAUGUACGAACUACUGUCAAGACACCUUCUUUACAACUAAAGAUUUCCCUCUCUCAUAGGACUCUUCGCUCAAAGCUUUCUAUCGGUUAGUAGACUUUAAUUUUCUCGAAAUCGAAGAACGUAAAGAUUACGUGACGGCCAUGAACAUAGUUUGUACUCCUACGUAUGGGGUCAAAGUUUCAACCUCUGAUGAGACCCUAUGAACUAACUGUGUUACAGUGAACAACUGCGUGACGGACGAGACUCUAGUUCCGUUACCGUCGACGACCAAGAACAAGACGAGCUACGUGAGAGACACGUGGCCGAAGGACGAGAACGAGGUCACUAGAGUCUGAGUUUCGAACACGUCUUCUAGGAUUUGAGCCGAGUCCAAUCGUCUCUCCUCAUGCUGAGGUACCAGCUGGAGUAGGAGGGAAAACCUUCUAGACCGCUCUGCGUGUACAGUUCAAUUGGGCACCUUCUUCAAGUAGUAUCAUAGUCCGCCUUGUCAUUGUUAGGAGAUGGUCCUAAGCCUAUAUAUACGGGUGAGUCGGCUCAUCUAUCUUCAGCAGGGUAUAGUCGUAGUCGUCGUACUGUAUGCUGAGUUUAUGGCGGUGUCACUGUCGGGGGUAAACCGAGCGAUAGAUCUUGUAGUGUUUAGAACGACGAAAUGGUAACGAAGAACAUACAAAGAGAGCGCAACGACAGUCGAUACAACGCCCGCGUCCCGUCCGAACAAAGUACAGCGUGAGCACCUAAAGUGGAAAUCGGGCCUCCUCUCUCUCGUUUUCUAUUGACGGUGCUCUCGACACCUAUCGUCGCAGUGUAGCAUCACAUAGUAUAGUGGUGCCUGAGCGCAAGAGUGAGUAGCAUCACGCAGACAUCGACAACAAUGGACGUUGGUAAACUGAGAACACCCAACCGCCGGACCGGGUAGGCACACAGUGGACUGACCGGCUCACGACCCCGUCCCAAGGACGUCCGGUCACUGACCAGCUACGGCUGCCGCCUGGCGGCAGCGACAUACCGAGUUAUGUAAACACGUAAACGGAA
rnacentral:rRNA from 1 species